rnacentral:misc_RNA from 1 species
UCAAACUUGGUCAUUUAGAGGAAGUAAAAGUCGUAACAAGGUUUCCGUAGGUGAACCUGCGGAAGGAUCAUUAUUGAAUACUACUUGAUGGGUUGUAGCUGACUCUCUCUUGAGUAUGUGCACGCCUGUCUUGUAUUCUAUUCAUCCACCUGUGCACCAUUUGUAGUCUUUGAGGGAUGAGUGAAGUGACUAUGGAUUGCAUGUAUUUGCUCUCUUUAACAAGUCAUGAAUCUCCCUUUGAAGUCUAUGUCUUUUCUCAUAAACGAAUGUUAUAGAAUGUAUUCAAUGGGCCUCUGUGCCUAUAAAAUCUUAUACAACUUUCAGCAACGGAUCUCUUGGCUCUCGCAUCGAUGAAGAACGCAGC